AGAGGGAGGGGGCGGGGAGGGAGGGGAGGGAGAGAGGAGGAAGGGGUGAGAGGGAGAAACCUGCCGCGGCUCUCCGCCUCUUUGUCUGCUCUGGGACUUGGAACAAAAGGGGAAACUCUGAUGAACUCCUUCUCCAGCUCCCUGGACGCCCGAGUAUCUCUUUCUCGCAACUUUGUCAACGCGACUUUCUCCGCUGUCAGGCUGCGCAAAAGUAUCCUAGCGCCUCGCAGGCUGCAACAAUGGAAACAAUGUCCCUUCAAAGUGCGACGAAGUGGAGGGAGAAGGUGUCAUACCAGCGACUCCAAGAGUCAUGUCACCCACUUAGCAGGAGUACUUCUACUGAAAUGCCUUCGAAUUUCUCUUACUGGAUAUAUACCUACCAGCCGCUAGCAUGAAGAUGCCAGGACCGCUGCAAGUUAGCACUGGACAAAGUAGCAUCAACUUCUUCAUUUAGAGUUUCUUCAGUUAAAUUGCUGGGAUUUUCGACAAGGCUUUCCUUAUGUGGAUUAUUGGAGUGUGAUGCCCGAGAAUUCUCUACUUGUAGAAGCACGCCCACGGGACUGCAGAAGCCUUCACACCCACCCAGCACGCUCAGAUCAUCCAGUAACCAACCCAGGAAGUUCUUGUAAGCAUGCAUUUCUUAGUCAACACUGAAUGCCUUUAGACCGAGGUCAACCUUUUCAGCUGGUACCGUGGUUUACACUGCUGAAAGUACUGUCUUCAACCUUACCAAUGUCAGUGGCGGCGACGGUGGCGUCACCAUCACCAUCAGAGAAAAAGAAAUAUGCCUUUAUGUCAUGGGUUGAUGGCCUAACACUGGCUUAACACUCAUGUCGGCUGCACUAAUUGAAGUCACAUCCAAGUGGGUCAAUGCACUGAACAUAUCUGAUAUAGAAGGUCCCAGAUCCUGAAUUUUUAUCAAUGGUUUGCUGUAUAAGGCUUGCCUCCCAAAUAGCUGAGGACCCUUAUUUGGGAAGAUACGUUCUGAUGGUUAAGCAACAGCACAGAUGUCGAUGGGAAUGAGUGAUGGCCAUCCAGUGACCAGCUGGAUCUGACUGCCUUACAAGACGCAUGUGUAUGAUUAAGAGAGAGACAUUCGUGACUCCCAGAUGUACCUCCUUCCUGUCCCACAGUGUUCCUGAAGGGAGUGAGUUAUGGGGUAACUUAUAACACAGCAGGCUCUUCCUCAAGAUAGCUCUUGUCAAAACAGGAAGACGAAACUCGGGUUUCCAUGAGGAGACCACAGCUUGGGAUCCUGUCUGGAUGUACAAGCAGAAGCAUCUUCAUACUUUUCCAUUUCUAACCAUCAUGCCUCACCCCACCCUCCCAAGGCGACAUCUGCAGAGAGGUGGAACCAUCUAGGGAGGCCUGCCACUGUUUGCUGAGCUCCGGGUGAGGAUGAAGACACUUUGACAUGGCCAGCUUCAGACUCGGGAUCUGUCGGUGUUAGCAGCCGAAGGAGAAUGAGGAGGAAGAGGAGGAGAAAGAGGAGGAGGAAGUAAGACAGAGGGGGACAAGAGGACCAAGAGGGCACAUGGCUGAGGAGGAGGAGAACAACAACAACAACAACAACAACAACAACAACAAGAAGCUUGGUGUUUUCAGGAUGUGUUCCUGAGUCUCGUGAGUAGCACAUGGCAGUUGUUGUCACCUUGGGCUGAGCCGUGAAGAUUCUCACCCUCCCUUGUUGGGGAUGAACUCCGGGAUUCUAAGGAGAGGUCAGCAGGUGUUUCACAGACUGUUCCUGUUGGAGGAUUUGUCUGAUACUCUUCUCCUGAUUAGUCUGGGCUCUACAUUUCCCCAAGGGUGAAACUUGGAAGCCCUCUCCAGGAUGCAGCAGGUAGCUGAGGAGAAAACGAAGACUGACCAGCCCAGAGCUCAGAGCUUCCUCCCAUGCUCAGGAUUUACCACCAAUGCCAUUACAUCGGCCUCUUCUUGUAUGCCUCUGGAAACCACAUGUGUCCUCUGUUUGUAAUGGUUUGGCUAUGGUUGCUGGCCCCUCUUGGACAUUGUUUUCAGAACUUAAAGAAACAUUGCUUUAAAGAUUUAUUAGAACAUAUUUAAAAUAAAACCAUCUUCUCAUUUAGUAUGC
rnacentral:lncRNA from 1 species